CAUUCAAUAAAAUUAUUAUAUUCAUUUUUUAUUUAAUAACUACAAUAUUAAAGUAAAACUUUACAGGAAAUAUCAAUUAAAAAUAACUAAAGAUAAAUUUUUUUGCUCCCACAAAUAUAAUGUAAUAUUUUUUUCCUACUAAAAAAGGCCUAUCCACAACUAUUUUAAUAAUUAUCUCAAAUCCAUAUAAAUUUGUGAAUCAUAUUUAUCUACAAAUUUAAAAUUUUAAAUUGUAAAUUCAUAAGUUAUAUUUUAUUGAAAAAUAUCUCAUAUUUUAGAUAUUAGUAAAUAAAAUUGAGAUAAUUUUUAUAUAUUCACCUUUAAAAAAAAUAAUUAAAUAUUAUAUAUGCGGAAGAUAUUACGUGAUUGAUAUUUUGUAGGUGGCGGAUAUUAAGUGUGAGAAAGAAAAUAUUUAAGAAACGGGUAAAUUAGGAAUAUUAUUUGUGACAAAAUACGAUAUUAGUAGGCGGCGGUUAUUAGGGGAUAGGGUACGAAUAUAAAAAGUGAAAUUUGAUAUGCACUAUAUGAGAGCAAUUUAGGUAUAAAAUAUGACAGUCAUUAAAUUAGAUCCAAUGACUAAGAAUUAAUAUGUUUUAUGAUAAUUUAAAAAUAAAAAUAAAAGUCUAAAUUACGGAAAACUUUCCGUCAAAACCCGCUUUUCCAUUUUCCCCCUGUCAUUUAAAAAUCUAUACUUUGCCCCCUUAUAAAAUAAAAAAUAUUUACAGAGAGAUACGAUGUGACAAAAUGACCAUUUUGCCCUUCGCCAUUUUUGUCUUCUUCCUCAUCCUCCUCAUCUGCGGCAGAGGAGGCCGACCUCGAGUGGGACGCAGGCGGCGAGGCCGUCAUCGGAUCGGCAUUUUCGGAAAGAAAAAAAUUUAAAACUCUCUCUUUUAUAAGUAGUAUAGAUAUAUAUUUAUUAUAAUUUUAAAUAUAUUUAAUCUAUAAAUAAUAAUAAUAAUAAUAAUAAUAAUAAUAAUAAUAAUAAUAAUAUAUAGUAUAAUAAUUGUUAUAUAUUAAUAAUAUAUAUAAUAAAAAAUAUAUUAAAUAUUUUUUUUUUUUCUUUCAACCAAACAACUCUUAUCAAAAAAAAAAAAAAAUUCUACAAACCAAACACUAAAUAACGUAAAAAAAAUUUUUCGCCGACAAAAUUUUUGAUACUACAGUUUUAUAUGAAAUCAAACACACCGUAAAAUUAAAUAUUUUUUAUGCCGCAGUUUUACAUGAAAUCAAACACACCCA
rnacentral:lncRNA from 1 species